GGCCAGACUCCUACGGGAGGCAGCAGUGGGGAAUAUUGCACAAUGGGGGAAACCCUGAUGCAGCAACGCCGCGUGGGUGAAGAAGUAUUUCGGUAUGUAAAGCCCUAUCAGCAGGGAAGAGAAUGACGGUACCUGACUAAGAAGCCCCGGCUAACUACGUGCCAGCAGCCGCGGUAAUACGUAGGGGGCAAGCGUUAUCCGGAUUUACUGGGUGUAAAGGGAGCGUAGACGGCAGUGCAAGUCUGAAGUGAAAGCCCCGGGCUUAACCCGGGAACUGCUUUGGAAACUGUACGGCUGGAGUGCUGGAGAGGUAAGCGGAAUUCCUAGUGUAGCGGUGAAAUGCGUAGAUAUUAGGAGGAACACCAGUGGCGAAGGCGGCUUACUGGACAGUAACUGACGUUGAGGCUCGAAAGCGUGGGGAGCAAACAGGAUUAGAUACCCUAGUAC
rnacentral:rRNA from 1 species